AGAGUUUGAUCCUGGCUCAGGAUGAACGCUAGCGGCGGGCCUAAUACAUGCAAGUCGAACGGAUUUAAUCUUUCGGGAUUAAGUUAGUGGCGCACGGGUGAGUAACGCGUACACAACGUGUCUUAGUAGAGGGGGAUAGCCUUGGGAAACUGAGAGUAAUACCCCAUAGUAUUGCGAGAAGGCAUCUUUUGCAAUUAAACCUACGGGGCUAUAAGGUUCGGUGUGCGUUAGAUUAGCUAGAUGGUGGGGUAACGGCUCACCAUGGCAACGAUCUAUAAGGGGCGUGAGAGCGUGAUCCCUCACACGGGUACUGAGACACGGACCCGACUCCUACGGGAGGCAGCGGUAAGGAAUAUUGGUCAAUGCCCGGAAGGGUGAACCAGCCACGCCGCGUGGAGGAUGAAGGCGCUAUGCGUUGUAAACUUCUUUAGAAUGGGAAGAAAAUUAGAUAUUCAUAUUUAACUGACGGUACCAUUAGAAUAAGCACCGGCUAACUCCGUG
rnacentral:rRNA from 1 species